rnacentral:rRNA from 1 species
AUUGAACGCUGGCGGCAUGCCUUACACAUGCAAGUCGAACGGCAGCACGGGUGCUUGCACCUGGUGGCGAGUGGCGAACGGGUGAGUAAUCCAUCGGAACAUGUCCUGUAGUGGGGGAUAGCCCGGCGAAAGCCGGAUUAAUACCGCAUACGAUCCACGGAUGAAAGCGGGGGACCUUCGGGCCUCGCGCUAUAGGGUUGGCCGAUGGCUGAUUAGCUAGUUGGUGGGGUAAAGGCCUACCAAGGCGACGAUCAGUAGCUGGUCUGAGAGGACGACCAGCCACACUGGGACUGAGACACGGCCCAGACUCCUACGGGAGGCAGCAGUGGGGAAUUUUGGACAAUGGGCGAAAGCCUGAUCCAGCAAUGCCGCGUGUGUGAAGAAGGCCUUCGGGUUGUAAAGCACUUUUGUCCGGAAAGAAAUCCUUGACUCUAAUACAGUCGGGGGAUGACGGUACCGGAAGAAUAAGCACCGGCUAACUACGUG